GGGUGCGAUCAUACCAGCACUAAUGCACCGAAUCCCAUUAGAACACCGCAGUGAAGCGUGCUUGGGCGAGAGUAGUACUAGGAUGGGUGACCUCCCGGGAAGUCCUCGUGUUGCACCCC
rnacentral:rRNA from 1 species